AUGCACGCUGGCGGCGUGCCUCAUACCUGCAAGUCGAGCGCACAGACGAGGGGCUUGCUCCUCUGACGUUAGCGGCGGACGGGUGAGUAACACGUGGAUAACCUACCUAUAAGACUGGGAUAACUUCGGGAAACCGGAGCUAAUACCGGAUAAUAUAUUGAACCGCAUGGUUCAAUAGUGAAAGACGGUUUUGCUGUCACUUAUAGAUGGAUCCGCGCCGCAUUAGCUAGUUGGUAAGGUAACGGCUUACCAAGGCGACGAUGCGUAGCCGACCUGAGAGGGUGAUCGGCCACACUGGAACUGAGACACGGUCCAGACUCCUACGGGAGGCAGCAGUAGGGAAUCUUCCGCAAUGGGCGAAAGCCUGACGGAGCAACGCCGCGUGAGUGAUGAAGGUCUUCGGAUCGUAAAACUCUGUUAUUAGGGAAGAACAAAUGUGUAAGUAACUAUGCACGUCUUGACGGUACCUAAUCAGAAAGCCACGGCUAACUACGUG
rnacentral:rRNA from 1 species